AAGGCACCAGGGGCAAAGGUGAUCGACGGAAGGGUAAUCAUGACGGAAGGGAAUAAGAAUUCUGAUGACAAAUCUGUGAAGAAGGAAUCACCAGUGCCACCAGUGGCAGAAGUGAACAAACCAAGUCUAAUCAUCACGGGAGGGAAUAAUACGAGUUCUGAUGACAAAUCUGGAACUUCGGUUGUCAAGGUGGAUGAUAAGAGCAAGGAGAAAAAGAAGACCUGCAAAAAUGAUGAAGGUAAAGGCAAGGCAAACUAGUGAUUGGUAUAUGAGAUUGAGGCAUGAAUCUUACAUGUUAGCGACGAACGCUAUUUUAAGUUUUUAAAUGUUUUAUUUUGGAUUUAAAUAUUUAUGUUUUGGUUUUGAACUUGGAACAAAUUACUACUGUUGUUAUGGUUUUAUUUUGGUGUGUCGGAUAUUUUUAUUUUAAAUAAAGAGAUUUCAUGCCUA